CGGACGGGUGAGUAACGCGUGAGAAUCUAGCUUCAGGUCGGGGAUAACUACUGGAAACGGUGGCUAAUACCGGAUGUGCCGAAAGGUGAAAGGCUUGCUGCCUGAAGAUGAGCUCGCGUCUGAUUAGCUAGUUGGUGUGGUAAGAGCGCACCAAGGCGACGAUCAGUAGCUGGUCUGAGAGGAUGAUCAGCCACACUGGGACUGAGACACGGCCCAGACUCCUACGGGAGGCAGCAGUGGGGAAUUUUCCGCAAUGGGCGAAAGCCUGACGGAGCAAUACCGCGUGAGGGAGGAAGGCUCUUGGGUUGUAAACCUCUUUUCUCAAGGAAUAAGUUCUGAAGGUACUUGAGGAAUAAGCAUCGGCUAACUCCGUGCCAGCAGCCGCGGUAAUACGGAGGAUGCAAGCGUUAUCCGGAAUGAUUGGGCGUAAAGCGUCCGCAGGUGGCUGUGUAAGUCUGCUGUUAAAGAGUCUAGCUUAACUAGAUAAAAGCAGUGGAAACUACAUAGCUAGAGUACGUUCGGGGUAGAGGGAAUUCCUGGUGUAGCGGUGAAAUGCGUAGAGAUCAGGAAGAACACCGGUGGCGAAGGCGCUCUACUAGGCCGUAACUGACACUGAGGGACGAAAGCUAGGGGAGCGAAUGGGAUUAGAUACCCCAGUAGUC
rnacentral:rRNA from 1 species